UGUGGUGAUCCACUGGAUUAUGCAUGGGAC
rnacentral:piRNA from 1 species